GCUGCGGCUAGGAACGCGAUCCGAAAGCCGGCCCCCUUACCGGUUGCCGCAGCCUCUUCUAAGGG
rnacentral:sRNA from 1 species